rnacentral:rRNA from 1 species
GAUGAACGCUGGCGGCGUGCUUAACACAUGCAAGUCGAACGGGACUAUUUUCAAACGAGGCUUCGGCCGAGGGAGGAUUUAGUCUAGUGGCGGACGGGUGAGUAACGCGUGAGCAACCUGCCCUUCAGUGGGGGACAACAGCUGGAAACGGCUGCUAAUACCGCAUAUUGCACAUGGGUCGCAUGGCCUGUGUGUGAAAGAUUUAUCGCUGAGGGAUGGGCUCGCGUCUGAUUAGCUAGUUGGUGGGGUAACGGCCCACCAAGGCGACGAUUAGUAGCCGGACUGAGAGGUUGAACGGCCACAGUGGGACUGAGAUACGGCCCAGACUCCUACGGGAGGCAGCAGGGGGGAAUAUUGGUCAAUGGACGAGAGUCUGAACCAGCCAAGUCGCGUGAAGGAUGACUGCCCUAUGGGUUGUAAACUUCUUUUAUGUGGGAAUAAAAAAGGGAACGUGUUCCCUAUUGCAUGUACCACUAUGAAUAAGCAUCGGCUAACUCCGUGCCAGCCGCCGCUGUAAAAC